rnacentral:rRNA from 1 species
CUACGGAACUCCUACGGGAGGCAGCAGUGGGGAAUAUUGCACAAUGGGCGGAAGCCUGAUGCAGCGACGCCGCGUGAGGGAUGACGGCCUUCGGGUUGUAAACCUCUUUCAGCUCUGAAGAAGCGAAAGUGACGGUAGGAGCAGAAGAAGCACCGGCUAACUACGUGCCAGCGGCCGCGGUAAUACGUAGGGUGCGAGCGUUGUCCGGAAUUAUUGGGCGUAAAGAGCUUGUAGGCGGUUUGUCGCGUCUGCUGUGAAAAUCCGGGGCUCAACUCCGGACUUGCAGUGGGUACGGGCAGACUAGAGUGUGGUAGGGGAGACUGGAAUUCCUGGUGUAGCGGUGAAAUGCGCAGAUAUCAGGAGGAACACCGAUGGCGAAGGCAGGUCUCUGGGCCACUACUGACGCUGAGAAGCGAAAGCGUGGGGAGCGAACAGGAUUAGAUACCCUGGUAGUCCUCUUCGA